rnacentral:rRNA from 1 species
CCGCGAAUUCGCCCUUGAGUUUGAUCCUGGCUCAGAGCGAACGCUGGCGGCAGGCUUAACACAUGCAAGUCGAGCGGGCGUAGCAAUACGUCAGCGGCAGACGGGUGAGUAACGCGUGGGAACGUACCUUUUGGUUCGGAACAACACAGGGAAACUUGUGCUAAUACCGGAUAAGCCCUUACGGGGAAAGAUUUAUCGCCGAAAGAUCGGCCCGCGUCUGAUUAGCUAGUUGGUGAGGUAACGGCUCACCAAGGCGACGAUCAGUAGCUGGUCUGAGAGGAUGAUCAGCCACAUUGGGACUGAGACACGGCCCAAACUCCUACGGGAGGCAGCAGUGGGGAAUAUUGGACAAUGGGCGCAAGCCUGAUCCAGCCAUGCCGCGUGAGUGAUGAAGGCCCUAGGGUUGUAAAGCUCUUUUGUGCGGGAAGAUAAUGACGGUACCGCAAGAAUAAGCCCCGGCUAACUUCGUGCCAGCAGCCGCGGUA